UACGGAGGGUGCAAACGUUGCUCGGAAUCAUUGGGCGUAAAGCGCGCGUAGGCGGUCCAGCAAGUCGGGUGUGAAAGCCCUCGGCUUAACCGAGGAAGUGCAUUCGAAACUACUGGACUUGAGUACUGAAGAGGAUCGCGGAAUUCCCGGUGUGAGAGGUGAAAUUCGUAGAUAUCGGGAGGAACACCAGUGGCGAAGGCGGCGAUCUGGGCAGAUACUGACGCUGAGGUGCGAAAGCGUGGGAGCAACAGG
rnacentral:rRNA from 1 species